UUAUAUGAUCUGAAGUUCACUC
rnacentral:snRNA from 1 species